rnacentral:rRNA from 1 species
AUAAUAAUUUGUUUUUUAAAUAAAAACUAGUAUGAAUGGCUUUUCAUUUUCUAACUGUCUCUCUUUAUUCUCUUUUAAAUUUCUAUUUCUGUGAAGAAGCAGAAAUAUAUUAGUAAGACGAGAAGACCCUAUCGAGCUUUAGUUAAUAAAUUAAUUACUAUUUUUUAAUUUUAAACUUUGGUUGGGGCAACCAUGGAGUACAAUAAACCUCCAGCUCUAAAAGAAGAUUAUAAAUCUCUUUUUUUAUAUUGAACCACUAUUUGUGGAAAACAGAAAUAGUUACCGUAGGGAUAACAGCGUAAUCUUCUUUGAGAGCCCUUAUUGACA